CGAACGGGUGAGUAACGCGUGAGGAACCUGCCUCAAAGAGGGGGACAACAGUUGGAAACGACUGCUAAUACCGCAUAAGCCCACAGCUCGGCAUCGAGCAGAGGGAAAAGGAGUGAUCCGCUUUGAGAUGGCCUCGCGUCCGAUUAGCUAGUUGGUGAGGUAACGGCCCACCAAGGCGACGAUCGGUAGCCGGACUGGGAGGUUGAACGGCCACAUUGGGACUGAGACACGGUCCAA
rnacentral:rRNA from 1 species